GUUUGGCACCUCGAUGUCGGCUCAUCUCAUCCUGGGGCUGAAGCAGGUCCCAAGGGUAUGGCUGUUCGCCAUUUAAAGAGGUACGCGAGCUGGGUUUAGAACGUCGUGAGACAGUUCGGUCCCUAUCUACCGUGGGCGCUGGAAAUUUGAGAGGAUCUGCUCCUAGUACGAGAGGACCAGAGUGGACGAACCUCUGGUGUACCGGUUGUGACGCCAGUCGCAUCGCCGGGUAGCUAUGUUCGGAAGGGAUAACCGCUGAAAGCAUCUAAGCGGGAAGCCUACCUCAAGAUAAGAUUUCCCUAGGACUUUAUGUCCUCUAAAGAGCCGUUCGAGACUAGGACGUUGAUAGGUUGGAUGUGGAAGCAUAGUGAUAUGUGAAGCUGACCAAUACUAAUUGCUCGUGAGGCUUGACUAUACAACACCCAAGCAGUUG
rnacentral:rRNA from 1 species